CGUUCUGUAAGCCUGUGAAGGUGUGCUGUGAGGCAUGCUGGAGGUAUCAGAAGUGCGAAUGCUGACAUAAGUAACGAUAAAGCGGGUGAAAAGCCCGCUCGCCGGAAGACCAAGGGUUCCUGUCCAACGUUAAUCGGGGCAGGGUGAGUCGACCCCUAAGGCGAGGCCGAAAGGCGUAGUCGAUGGGAAACAGGUUAAUAUUCCUGUACUUGGUGUUACUGCGAAGGGGGGACGGAGAAGGCUAUGUUGGCCGGGCGACGGUUGUCCCGGUUUAAGCGUGUAGGCUGGUUUUCCAGGCAAAUCCGGAAAAUCAAGGCUGAGGCGUGAUGACGAGGCACUACGGUGCUGAAGCAACAAAUGCCCUGCUUCCAGGAAAAGCCUCUAAGCAUCAGGUAACAUCAAAUCGUACCCCAAACCGACACAGGUGGUCAGGUAGAGAAUACCAAGGCGCUUGAGAGAACUCGGGUGAAGGAACUAGGCAAAAUGGUGCCGUAACUUCGGGAGAAGGCACGCUGAUAUGUAGGUGAAGUCCCUCGCGGAUGGAGCUGAAAUCAGUCGAAGAUACCAGCUGGCUGCAACUGUUUAUUAAAAACACAGCACUGUGCAAACACGAAAGUGGACGUAUACGGUGUGACGCCUGCCCGGUGCCGGAAGGUUAAUUGAUGGGGUCAGCGCAAGCGAAGCUCUUGAUCGAAGCCCCGGUAAACGGCGGCCGUAACUAUAACGGUCCUAAGGUAGCGAAAUUCCUUGUCGGGUAAGUUCCGACCUGCACGAAUGGCGUAAUGAUGGCCAGGCUGUCUCCACCCGAGACUCAGUGAAAUUGAACUCGCUGUGAAGAUGCAGUGUACCCGCGGCAAGACGGAAAGACCCCGUGAACCUUUACUAUAGCUUGACACUGAACAUUGAGCCUUGAUGUGUAGGAUAGGUGGGAGGCUUAGAAGUGUGGACGCCAGUCUGCAUGGAGCCGACCUUGAAAUACCACCCUUUAAUGUUUGAUGUUCUAACGUUGACCCGUAAUCCGGGUUGCGGACAGUGUCUGGUGGGUAGUUUGACUGGGGCGGUCUCCUCCUAAAGAGUAACGGAGGAGCACGAAGGUUGGCUAAUCCUGGUCGGACAUCAGGAGGUUAGUGCAAUGGCAUAAGCCAGCUUGACUGCGAGCGUGACGGCGCGAGCAGGUGCGAAAGCAGGUCAUAGUGAUCCGGUGGUUCUGAAUGGAAGGGCCAUCGCUCAACGGAUAAAAGGUACUCCGGGGAUAACAGGCUGAUACCGCCCAAGAGUUCAUAUCGACGGCGGUGUUUGGCACCUCGAUGUCGGCUCAUCACAUCCUGGGGCUGAAGUAGGUCCCAAGGGUAUGGCUGUUCGCCAUUUAAAGUGGUACGCGAGCUGGGUUUAGAACGUCGUGAGACAGUUCGGUCCCUAUCUGCCGUGGGCGCUGGAGAACUGAGGGGGGCUGCUCCUAGUACGAGAGGACCGGAGUGGACGCAUCACUGGUGUUCGGGUUGUCAUGCCAAUGGCACUGCCCGGUAGCUAAAUGCGGAAGAGAUAAGUGCUGAAAGCAUCUAAGCACGAAACUUGCCCCGAGAUGAGUUCUCCCUGACUCCUUGAGAGUCCUGAAGGAACGUUGAAG
rnacentral:rRNA from 1 species